UACGUAGGGUGCAAGCGUUAAUCGGAAUUACUGGGCGUAAAGCGUGCGCAGGCGGUUUUGUAAGUCUGACGUGAAAUCCCCGGGCUUAACCUGGGAAUUGCGUUGGAGACUGCAAGGCUGGAGUCUGGCAGAGGGGGGUAGAAUUCCACGUGUAGCAGUGAAAUGCGUAGAGAUGUGGAGGAACACCGAUGGCGAAGGCAGCCCCCUGGGUCAAGACUGACGCUCAUGCACGAAGGCGUGGGGAGCAAACAGG
rnacentral:rRNA from 1 species